CAAUCGGCCCUUUUCAGAGCCAACAAAUGUAUCAAAGAAUUAAUUG
rfam:Aedes aegypti strain Liverpool supercont1.359 genomic scaffold, whole genome shotgun sequence.